GCCGGGUGCGGUGGCAUGUGCCUGUAAUCCAAGUCACUGGGAGGCUGAGAUUGGUGGAUCAAGUGAGCUGAGGAGCUCUGGGCUGCAGCAUUCUAUGUGUCCACGCUAAGUUCGGUAUCGAUAUGGUGUUCCUGGGCGAGCCCGGGACCACCAGGUCGUCUAAGGAGGGGUGAACCGGGCCAGGUCGGAAACGAAGCAGGUCAAGUCCCCCGUGCUGUCCAGUAGUGGGAUAAUACCUGUGAGUAGAUGCUGCAGUGCAUCCUUGGCAAAACAUCGAGACCUAAUCUUUU
ensembl:misc_RNA Metazoa_SRP Metazoan signal recognition particle RNA